ACUUUCUCUCGCUCUAGCCCAUCGAAUAGUUAAGUGGAACAGCCCCCUCCUCUCCUGCAAGCAUAGCCCAGUGGUUAGUUGGGGCACUCAGCUGGGAGGGGGAAGAGUCUGGUUCCCUACCUCUCAGAACUCUUGCGUCAACACUUCAGGAAGAUUCCAUGCACAGGCAAAGACUUUACAGGCCCUCAGUCCCCAAGGAACCUUAAGCUGUACAAAGAGAGGAAGUCAUUUUCUACUUCCUACAUAUCUCUUCAAACUUUUAUGGAAGAAGAGGGCAAGAGCACAAGCUUUCAACUCCCUUUAUAGCAGUAGUCAAAGCUCUAGCAACAUAACUGAGGAGGGGAAAGGAUGCUCAUUUUCAUCCUUGCUGCCAGCAUUCUCCUAGAGAGACAAGAGAGCGAUUUGAAGGAGAAGAGCAUAGGAACCUGUAUGGAUCAGUUCAAUGAAGGCAACACUGAAAAAGAUAUGGAGACAUUUGUAUGAGAAGCUGAGGAACAGACAGACAAGGCUAGUGUUGAUGGAGAAGAGGAACCAGGGAUGGAAAAGCAACAAGAGACAAGGCUAGGAAUCACAUCAACCAUCACUGAAAUGAAACCACCUCUGGGGUAUAAUGUUGCAACUGUUUAAGAGAGCACCGCAGUUCUACACAUCUAGGAAGCAAAAAUGAAUUCUGUAUUAAAUUGAUAUUGCAGAGGGAAUUUAAGUACACAUGGAAACCUGAAGUGUGUUAUCGAAAUCAGUUGCUGAUGGCCUUCCCAUUAUUUCCUUAAUAAAAUAUUUCCUUUGCAAACAGCUGUUGCUUCCCUGGAAGAACCCAGCAAAGCCUCUGUCUUUUGUUGCCUUACCUUGCUUUCAUGGCCCCAUAGGCACCAUCUUUUCCAUUAAACUACGGCUGCAUAAAGGGGUUGCCAUUGAGUGAUUCAGAACACCUUGUAGGGGCUGAAAGCUCUGCUUCCACAGGGCUCCAAACCCAGAUGGUAUAAUUCUCAUCUGUCAUUACAC